rnacentral:rRNA from 1 species
CAUUACUGAGUUUCGCUCUACAACCCUUUGUGAACAUACCUAUAACUGUUGCUUCGGCGGGUAGGGUCCCCGUGACCCUCCCGGCCUCCCGCCCCCGGGCGGGUCGGCGCCCGCCGGAGGAUAACCAAACUCUGAUUUAACGACGUUUCUUCUGAGUGGUACAAGCAAAUAAUCAAAACUUUUAACAACGGAUCUCUUGGUUCUGGCAUCGAUGAAGAACGCAGCGAAAUGCGAUAAGUAAUGUGAAUUGCAGAAUUCAGUGAAUCAUCGAAUCUUUGAACGCACAUUGCGCCCGCCAGCAUUCUGGCGGGCAUGCCUGUUCGAGCGUCAUUUCAACCCUCAAGCUCUGCUUGGUGUUGGGGCCCUACAGCUGAUGUAGGCCCUCAAAGGUAGUGGCGGACCCUCCCGGAGCCUCCUUUGCGUAGUAACUUUACGUCUCGCACUGGGAUCCGGAGGGACUCUUGCCGUAAAACCCCCCAAUUUUCCAAAGGUUGACCUCGGAUCAGGUAGGAAUACCCGCUGAACUUAAGCAUAUCAA